GGUUCCGGUUCAAAACCGGACCGUCGCCACCCCUAAGUGGCCAAGAUGAAUCCAAAUUUGGUUUUUUAAGGGGUUAACAAGUUACGUUAAUAGAUAUAACUGCAGAGAAACAUGCCUAUUAUGUCUAAACUGCUGCAACGGAAAAGCAGUGCAAUCCUUAACACAUGAAUUAACUUGGAAUACCUGAACUUGUGGAACUUAAAAACAAGAAGUAAUAAUUAAUAAUAAUUCUCUUAGAAAAAUGUUAUUUCAUGUAACCUUAUUUAUGUUUUUCUAGUAUUAAGCCAAAAGAAUAAAAAGAAAAGAAGAAAGAAUGCAAAACAAAGAGCUAGAGACAAACAUCUCACUCUGCAUCCCAUAUCCAUCAAUGCGCUAAUUACACAGCCUGUACUUGGGUUUAUUUUGGAAAGUCACCAGUGUAUCACUUCCAUAUUAAUCCCUGAUAUAUGUGUUGCUUUUAUUCUAAUUUGUUUUUGAGCAAAUUUUGAAGUUUUUAUGAUCGACCACAACUGAUCAUGAGAAGAAUCAUAGUUUGCAUGCCAUUAAGAAUUAACAACGAUUUAAAUACUUUCUUUUGAUUAGGAAAAGGAACAAAGAACCCCUUUUACUUUAACCAACAACUUUUACUUAACGCUGACAACCCUGAUAUUAUGUGCUCACCAUGCUAGACAGGAUAAGAGCUAACCUGGAAGAAGACAGCUUCUUGAUGGUUGCACAUGCUGCACUUAACGGAUUUAGUGCGAGGAAGUGUUGGAUCUGCAGCUACAUCCUGCAGUACCUGAGUCCGCUCUGCUACAGAGUGAUGUACCUCAUUUCUGUAUACACAGUUAUUUUCAGCAAUUUCCUGAUGAUCGCAAUUGCGGCAAGCAUAGAGGAGGAUCUUCUGUUCCUUAUCCUCCUUAGGGUAGAGAAUGUUGUUG
rnacentral:misc_RNA from 1 species